GACGAACGCUGGCGGUGUGCCUAAUACAUGCAAGUCGAACGAUGAGGCUCCUUCGGGAGUACAUCAGUGGCGGACGGCUGAGUAACACGUAGAUAACUUACCUUAAACUGGGGGAUAACACUGGGAAACCAGUGCUAAUACCGCAUAAGUGCCAGGUUGAAAUACCUGUCAUUAAAGCUCCGGCGGUUUAAGAUAGGUCUGCGGCAGAUUAGCUUGUUGGUGGGGUAAUGGCCUACCAAGGCAAUGAUCUGUAGCUGGUCUGAGAGGAUGAUCAGCCAGAGUGGAACUGAGACACGGUCCACACUCCUACGGGAGGCAGCAGUAGGGAAUAUUGCGCAAUGGGCGAAAGCCUGACGCAGCAACACCGCGUGUGGGAUGAAGCAUCUAGGUGUGUAAACCACUGUCAGCAGGGAAUAAUAUUGACUGUACCUGCAGAGGAAGCACCGGCUAACUACG
rnacentral:rRNA from 1 species